rnacentral:lncRNA from 1 species
AAUACUUAUAUUAGUAUGCUAUAAUUUUUAUUGGUUGAUAUUACUGAAAUUUCUGAGAAAUGCUUAUAAAAGAGUUUGCCAGACAAGUUAAAGUUGGGGUAACUGAGUCUACGAGGCCACCUAGGUCAAUUUGACAUGUCAUCUCUCUGGAUGUGGGUCUGUUUUUCUCUAAAACAAGAAGUUUGGGCUCUUCAGGUAUAAACAGGAUUAAGAUAAAAAUGAAUUUCAGAUGAGCAGUUUAUACAGUGAGCACUAGAGGGCAGUAGCUGGUUAAUAAGCAUAGCCAUGGAGAAAAAUGUAGACAGUGACAAAAAUGGGCUCCUCUCUUCCCACUCCUCCUUCCUCACCUGUUCCAUUCCCUCUGCUCUCCAGCUGCCUCUCCCCCUUCCCCUUGGUUUAUGGUUAAGCUCAUAAAGCAUAUUAAGAGGAAAGCUAGCCUAUUGAAAAUACUACUUUUCAUAUAUUUUGCAGCUUAACAGCUUGACACAAAUCUCCAAGGGGUUUACAUAAGCUUUAAGUAGGUUGAAUAAAUAAAAUCUUGAGUCAAUUUAAUUUAACAAGUACUUAUUGAAUAUCUACAUGUAGACCAGAAUCAGAUUAGUUAACCAAGCACCUUGGAAUUUUAAAAUGUCUCCUCUCUUUGAUAAUGGAUUUGAAGAGUGAAAAUAAGGCUUUCUGUGGGUGUUUGUAAAAGAUUCUGGUUCUCCUGUUGUUUUCUGUUCACUUUCUUGGGAUCUUUGUGAUGGGGAGACUAGACAGGAGGCUGUAGUAGUUAGUAGUUCAGAUGAGAGAGACUGUGGAGAUGUGAGUUGUAGAGAAGAAUAAUUUAAGACUAAAAUUAAGGGGGGGAAGAUUCCUGCACUUGGUAUGUAUUUAUUUUUGAGAUGGGAUCUUACAAUGUUGCCCAGAAUAGCCUUGAACUUUGAGGCUCAAGCCAUCCUCCUGCCUCAGUCUCAAUAGUAGCUGAAAUUAGAGGAAUGCACCACUGUGACUGGUUGUUCUCAGAUGGCUCUAACAGUGACUAGCCUACUCGGCCUCUUGGACAAAUCUCGCUGAAUCAUGAGCCCUCUCCUUUGAUUUGUUGGAAGGAAUGGUAGCAAACUAGAACAGGUGAGAAGACUAGGAAGGACCCCCUGAUCAAAAAUAUCCUCUCUUCAGCCAGGUGUGGUGGUGCCCACCUGUGGUCUCAGCUAUUUGGAAGGCUGAAGUAAGAGGACUGCUUGAUCCCAGGAGUUCAAGUCUCUCCUGGGCAACAUAAUGAGACCCCUGUCUCAAAGAGAAAAAAAAUUCUUAAUUCACCAACAUGACACUUACCCAGGAUUGAGAGACUGCUUAAAACAGCUAAUGACUAAAGGAUGAAGUCUAUAGCUUAUUCAUCCCAGAUGAAUACUGCUGCAUUCUGGUUUCUCCAUUACCCCUGACCCGAAACUCCUUGGCUUCCAGAUUGCAGAGCUACCACUUAUCUACCCAACAGCCAGCCCCACUUUUGCCUGUUUUGUUGCAGGUUGGAAGUGCCAGAUUCUCUUUCCCAGCUCCCUUUGCAGUGAGGGUUGGUUAUACUCCAGGUGAGUGGAACCCUGAUGGGGGCUUCUAGGAAAGCUUGUUAAGAGCUUGGGAGCAAAAAAGAGCUUUGCUCUUUAAGUCUUGCUUGGGAUGAUGGAUGUGAUACUUGGGGCUACUGCAGCCAUGAGAGAAUAAACAUUAACAUGCUAAAUAUAGCAAUGGGAUAUGGAAAGGGACUGGUCCCCAAUGCCUUAGCUAAAUGACAGGAUGGACUAUGGAACUGCCAAUGUUAAUUUUGUUCUGUGAUAAUCUCUAACACCUCUGCUUUUAGUUGAGUAUUCCAUUACUUAAUAAUGAUAGCAAAUGCUUAUGAGAUCCUUACACUAGGUGUCUAGAACACUUGCAUAUGCUAACUCAUUUCAUUCUUACAAUAACUUUUUGAAGAUUUUUUAUCCUUAUUUUGCAAGUGAGGAAAUUGAGGCAAAGAGAAGCAUAAGUGGGGCUGCUGUUGCAGCUCAGUGGUAGAGCACUUGCCUAGCAUAUGUGAGGCACUGGGUUUAAUUCUUAGCACCACAUUUAAAAAAAUAAAGAUAUUUUAAAAAGAGAAGUAUAAGUGACUGGCCUGAGGUCACUUGCCCAGGUGGUCUGGUUCCAGAGUUCUCAUUCUCUAAGUUCUUAUAUUUGGAAUGAUACACAGUGAAUCAAAAAAAUGGUUUGCAGUAGACAAGGCAUAUUCUAGAUAACACCUUUUAAAUAGUUUUGGGAUGAAUGAUAACCUUGGGCCAAAAGCAUGGAAAUUCAAAGGUCAGUGGUUUCAUUCUGGAAUAGGUUUCAUUCACUUUCUCAGCCACUGAGAGCCCAUCAUCUCAUCUGGUCACUGACAACAUGUGCCAAGGCUAAGGGUCACACUCCAGAAGAGAGAACCAUUCUGUUCCCCUCUGUCCUUUCAUCUGUCAAUAGUACCACCUGCCACCCAAUCUCUCCUGCACUGAGCAACUUCAUAGUCACAUUCUAUUUUCUCUUCUGCCUCAGCCUCCACAUCCAAUGUUUACCAAUACCCAUUUUCUUUGAAAGCUGCAUCUCAAAGUUAGUGAUUCCCACUGCCACCUCCUGUUUGGUCUUUGCUGUGGUUUGACUGUGCUCCUCAAAGUUCAUGUGUUAGAAACUUAAUCUCCAUUGCUACAGUGUUGGGAACAUGGGGACUUCAAGAUGAACAGAGUGCGCUGGGGAUGCAGCUCAGUAGGAGAACUCAUGCUUACCACCAACAAGGCUCUGAGUUGGAUACCCAGCACAACAUUAGAGAUAUGAUAAAUUGUGGUAUAAAGGUGUAUUAAGGGGCUGGGGAUGUGGCUCAAGAGGUAGCGUGCUGGACUAGCAUGCGUAAGGCACUGGGUUCGAUUCUCAGCACCACAUAAAAAUAAAAUAGAGAUAUUGUGUCCACCUAAAACUAAAAAAUAUUUUAAAAAGGUGUAUUAAUAAUUGUAAUGAAAAAAAUCAAUAAGAGAGCUCAUGUAUAAUGGUAUAAUUUGCUGUGAACAUACUUUAUAUGCAGAGUUAUGAAAAAUUGUGCUGUGAAUGGAUAAUUAUGAAUGUAAUGCAUUCCACUAUUGUCAUGUAUGAAAUAAUUAAUUUUUUUUAAAAAAAGCAAAAGCAAAUAGACCAUAGGACUCCACCUUCAUGAAUGAAUUAAUGCCCAAUCAUGGAAGUGGGUUAGUAUUUGCAGGAAUGGGUUCCUGAAAGGUUGAGUUUGGUCCCCUUUCCUCUUUCCCUCCUACUCCUGCUCUCUCUCUCUCUCUUUCAUGCAUAUGUACCUAUGUGCUCUGGAGCUUCUGCCUUCCAGGAAGGAAUAUGCAGCAAGAAGGUCCUGACCAGAUCCAGUCCUGUAACCUCCAGCCUCCAGAACUGUAAGAAAUAAAUCUCUAUUCAUUAUAAAUUAUCCAGUGUC